rnacentral:rRNA from 1 species
UACGUAGGGAGCAAGCGUUGUCCGGAUUUAUUGGGCGUAAAGAGCUCGUAGGCGGCUUAGCAAGUCAGGUGUGAAACCUCCAGCUUAACCUGGAGACGCCACUUGAUACUGCUAUGGCUUGAGUUUGGUAGGGGAAGACGGAAUUCCUGGUGUAGCGGUGAAAUGACGCAGAUAUCAGAGAGGAACACCGAUGGCGAAGGCAGUCUUCUGGGCCAAAACUGACGCUGAGGAGCGAAAGCGUGGGGAGCGAACAGG